rnacentral:rRNA from 1 species
AUGGCCAUCUUAAAGAUUAUUGCAGAGGGAUUUGAGGAUAAAUAUCUUGGCCUUCCAGUUCCUCAAGGAAGAAUGAAAGCUGGUAGAUUCCAGUCUACUAAGGAAAGGGUGUUGAAACGACUUUCUGACUGGAUUGAUAAAUAUGCUUCAAGCGGGGUGAAAGAAGAUCUUAUCAAGUCAGUAAUUCAGACUCUUUCAGUGGUGGUUGAUGGAGGGAAUAUCAAUAGUUGGAGGGACAAUUCGCUUCCAAGGAUUUCUGGCCUCAAAAUUUCUAGCAAGAAGAACAUAUCAAGACUAAAAUUGGUUUCAGAUUUAUUCAAGAGCGAGUCUAGGGAUUGGGAUGAAAAUAUCAUUAGACAUCUUUUUUAUCCUCAUGACGCGGAAGAGAUCUUGAAGUUGCGGAUUCAAUCCUCAGGGGAUGGUGAUUUCAUUCAUUGGCAUUUUGAAAAGAAUGGACUAUUCUUAAUGAAGAGUGCGUACAAUCUGGCGUUAAAGCUUAAGGAUCAGAAAGAGAAUGUUGGGCAAUCAAGUACUGCUAUUAACGGAGAAAGGAGGUUGUGGGAUAUCAUUUGGAAGGCCAACAUCCUACAAAAGAUUAGAAUUUUCCGAUGGCGUGCAACAUCUGAUAGCCUGGUGGUUCAGGUAGUCACCAAUUACAAAGGAAAGGAGGCGGUGGCUGGUUUUGAUGCAAGUAAUACUAUUGUGAGAUCCAAAGAGGUGUGGCAGCCGCCUCCUUCUGGCCACAUCAAGAUCAAUGUUGAUGCAAGCUUUGUGGAGAGUUUAAGUGCCACGAGCGUUGGGGUGGUGGCCAGGAGUUGUACCGGUGAUAUCAUUGUCUCAUCUUGCGACUUCAUUGGGUUAUGCUCUGGUGUGGAUGAAGCGGAGCUUUGA